AAGUCGUAACAAGGUUUCCGUAGGUGAACCUGCGGAAGGAUCAUUAAUGAGAACUUGCCCUUCGGGGUAGAUCUCCCACCCUCUGUUUAUUAUACUUUGUUGCUUUGGCAGGCCCGUCCUCGGACCGCCGGCCUCGGCUGGCCAGCGCCUGCCAGAGACUCAAAACUCUGAUUACAUAUUGUCUGAGUACUAUUUUAAUAGUUAAAACUUUCAACAACGGAUCUCUUGGUUCUGGCAUCGAUGAAGAACGCAGCGAAAUGCGAUAAGUAAUGUGAAUUGCAGAAUUCAGUGAAUCAUCGAAUCUUUGAACGCACAUUGCGCCUCCUGGUAUUCCGGGGGGCAUGCCUGUUCGAGCGUCAUUUCAGCCCUCAAGCACUGCUUGGUGUUGGGGUCCUACGGCUGCCGUAGACCCUGAAAGAAAGUGGCGGGCUCGCUACAACUCCGAGCGUAGUAGAAUCCUAUCUCGCUAGGGAGGUGCGGCGUGUCCCGGCCGUUAAAGUCCCAUCUUUAACCCAAGGUUGACCUCGGAUCAGGUAGGAAUACCCGCUGAACUUAA
rnacentral:rRNA from 1 species